rnacentral:rRNA from 1 species
UACGUAGGGUGCAAGCGUUGUCCGGAAUUAUUGGGCGUAAAGAGCUUGUAGGCGGUUUGUCGCGUCUGCUGUGAAAUUUCGGGGCUCAACCCCGAACUUGCAGUGGGUACGGGCAGACUAGAGUGCGGUAGGGGUGACUGGAAUUCCUGGUGUAGCGGUGGAAUGCGCAGAUAUCAGGAGGAACACCGGUGGCGAAGGCGGCAUCCUGGACCGGCAUUGACGCUGAGGCGCGAAAGCCAGGGGAACAAACGGG